rnacentral:rRNA from 1 species
UACGAAGGGGGCUAGCGUUGUUCGGAAUUACUGGGCGUAAAGCGCACGCAGGCGGCUCGAUAAAUUAGAAGUGAAAGCCCCGGGCUUAACCUGGGAAUUGCUUUUAAGACUGUCGGGCUAGAAUCCAGAAGAGGGUAGUGGAAUUCCGAGUGUAGAGGUGAAAUUCGUAGAUAUUCGGAAGAACACCAGUAGCGAAGGCGACUACCUGGUCUGGCAUUGACGCUCAUGUGCGAAAGCGUGGGGAGCAAACAGG